UUAAGGAUGGCCAUGUGACCACACCUAGCCAAUAGAAGACCUCUCUGGGACUUUUGCUAGAUCUAUUGGGAAGAAUAUCCUUACUCUGAAGCGUGAAGUCUCUGUAUUAGCUUCCAAUCUGAGAGGAUUCUGCUGCCCGCUGAGAUUCUGCGCUCUUGUAGCGACUUCAAAUGCCGUGAGAAAACUGAGGCUCAGGCAUGGUUUCUGACUCACCCACGGGCACCCAUCUUUCAGGGCAGAGAUCUGCAUCCAAAUCCAGGUACGUCUGUCACCAGGCCGUCUUCCCCCGCCAGAUCACAUCACGAAGGAAACACUCGGAGCCCUUGCUGUGUGUCAGUGUCUCUGGGGAGAACAACGCUGAGGAAUGUGACAUCUCAUCCCCAUCAGCUUUGGCGACAAAUGAACUUGUAUUUGAAUCCUGGAAAGUUUGUGCUUGAUUGAUCUUUAUUUCUCAUCGAGAA